GCUGGGUGUGGUGGCGCACGCCUGUAGUCCCAGCUACUUGGGAGGCUGAGGCAGGAGAAUUGCUUGAACCUAGGAGGUGAAGGUUGUGGCAAGCCGAGAUUGCGCCACUGCACUCCAUCCUGGGCAACAGAGCAAGACUCUGUCUCAA
ensembl:misc_RNA Metazoa_SRP Metazoan signal recognition particle RNA